AUGGAGGGUGUCGAUAGGGAAUGGAAGAGAGGAGUCCGGUUGUUUCGAUUUGAAGCCCGAUGGUUACAGGAGGAGGGAUGUGAGUAUGUGGUGAAAGAAGCCUGGGAGAGUGGUUGCUUGGCGGACUGGGGAGGAGUGACGCAAGCACUAAAAGGAGUGGCAUCGAAAAUGAGUACCUGGAUUAAAGAGGUUCUGGGAGUGUUAGAUGAAAAGAUAAAAAAUGUGCGUACGGACCUAGAAAGAUGCAUGAAGGAGGCGGUGUCUGAAUCAAAAAUUAGGGAGGAAGGAAGGCCUAUAUGCUUACUUGAAGAGCUGAAGGAGAAGAAGUAUACAGAGCUCAAACAAAGAGCACAUGUGUGGUGGCUGAAAGGUGGAAAUAAGAACAUUAAAUACUUACAAUCGGUGGCGUCCGGGAGGAAGAGAACUAAUAGGCUGAAGGAGAUCAGGAGGGAGGAUGGUAUGGUGGUGGAGGACGGAGAGACGAGUAGCACGUGGCAUAUGAGCACCACGAGUACUAGUGGCAGCGGCUGCCUCUCAAGUGGGAGUCGUUCCAGAUCAACAAGGAGCGUGCACAUGGAGAUGGAAGGCAGAAAGAUCGCCCAGAUGAAAAGCAUGUGCCCCGGCAUCAGCAGAGCCGCCAUCUCAGAUGAGAUCGCGAGCGGGUUUACUGGAGGAACUGGAGCCAUGACGAGGCACCAUGAGGAGGAAGGAGCGAUUACGUGGUAUUGCUGA
rnacentral:rRNA from 1 species